CAAUCAGGAAACGGGGGUGUGUGCGAGUGGGCGUGGCCAGAGUGUGUUGUUGCUGUGAAAAUGUCGAUGGACUGUGUAUUUUUCAUCAGGGCUGGGGACCACUCUGGAUUUAAUAAUAACCAGAGGGUUGAUGGGAGAUUAUGGCAGCGGUGACGGAGUUGUGAUAGUAAAUGGACCGGAGGUGUUGCGAAAGCGGCGGUGUCGGUAAGUCCCCCCACCCACCCAACCCGUCCAAAAAAACUAUUUAUUUACAUCCACUUUCUGCUUCGGUAAGUCAUAUACCAUCAUAUAUAUGGAUUUAGGCUACAGUGCGUCUGUGGUGGAAGGUAGGCUGUUUUAGUAACGUCCCUCAUUUGUUAUUUUUCUGUGUAAUAUUUCCAUAAUUGUAUCACUUCCAUGCUUUAUUUGCUUAAUGUUUCAUUUCUUUAAGACUGCUAAACGGUAUUUUCUCAUUUAAGGCCAAUGAAGAAUUACGCAUGACCGUGAUUUUAUAAUUACGGUGUAGUGCGCAGUUUCCAACGUUGCUUCCAACGUUACCCGGAAAUAAGCGAGGUAUUUGCUCUCAGCUGUUUCCUUAUAAAACAUGUCUGUGCGGAUUUGUGGCUCAUUUUUCGUCGGAGCCAGUGGCAGGGCAGAGGAGCAGGAUGGGAUGGAGAGGUGUGUUGGAUGCUUGCUGCGGGAGGAUGUUGCGCACUUCAUUUUUACCUCAGGAGUGAGGGGUCUGGUCAUCCAUGCGGUACUGCGUAAUGAUUUAAUGUAUGAGGUAGAUGUUUUUUCUGUUCAAUGUCAAUUGUGUUUGUUGUUAGGGUUAUGAUUGAAGACUUAAAUAUAUUUGAUUCAGCUCGGGAUAUCCCUGAUAUCACAGUUUCAGCUCGUGAUAACAAAAUUAUAAGCGGCAGAAUAACUUUGAUUAAGUUAAAAAGGAGGGGGAAGUACUUCAAAGUAGUGCACUGUUAAAAAAUAUUAUUCUUAAGGAAAACUAUAUGUUUCUGCUACUUUUUAAGGAAAUGUAUUUUACAGGAUACUGACUUUGAAUUUUGUCACAUGUGAGUGUCUGUGAAGAUUCUCAGUGUGUCAUGUCCCAUUCCAGCUGUACAGACUAUUUAAACAAAAACAUGUGUAAAGAAAUUUAGAAUUAGUUACUUAAUUCAGAAAUCUUUUGUUAUGUAAAGGCCUAAAGUUAAAAUUAUGUAAGAUUGUUUUUUCCCACUGUCAGUUUGCAGAAAUAUAUUACUUUCAAUGAGUUUAUCUUUUUUAAACAUAUUAUUGAUUCUUAUUAAAAGCUAAUUUUUACUGUUUGUAAACCUAAAGUGCGUGUGCCUACUGUGCCAGCGCCUUGACUCAGCUCCAUCCAUCCAGAGGUUUCUAUGUCAUACGCACUUUUUAUUCCUGAUGUAAACAAACCCUCCAAAAGCAAUACUCUUCUUUAACACAGGAUGGCGUAUUUGUGCAGGCUUAUUGCACAGCUUGUACUGAACAUGAAGUAACAGAAACAGUGUUCUUGGAAUGAAUCAGAUAUUUUAUUGGGAUUUAUUGAUGCAACACUACUGAGUGAGGGUACAACAGCAGCUUGCACAUCUUAAUGAGAGCCAGAAAAGGUUUUUUUUUCAUUCUUAACUAUUUUGUUGACAGAAGGACUGGCACAUCCAUCUGUUGUGCUUUAGAAAAAAAAAAAAAAUCAUCUCUAUAAACACCAAAACCGCAAACUGACUGCAAUUGAUCUGAUGACUGACAAGCACAGUAGGAGAAAAUGCUGCCAAUGUUGUGAUAGAAUGUGUCCUAAGCAAAUUAAUAUAUUAGAGAAUCUAACAAAACAACAAAGUGAAGCUUAGAAAUGUAAAUUGGUUGAUAUUUAUCUUUUCACAGAAGGAAAUUAUGUAUUGCCUUCAACAUUCUGUGGCAGGUAAGAGCCAGUACACUUCAUAGCAAACAACACAUAGAAACAAAUGCCACAACAGUGCAGCAUCCCGUUGUUUAUAUCAAUUAUUGUCAAAAAGUUGCUUAAUAACAGUUGGCCAGCUGCAUAUUGGCAGUAUUUAAUUGCAGGGUUUGGCCGGAGGUCAGCAGUCAUAUACAUACAUACAUACAUACAUACAUACUUGCAUAAAACCAAAAUGAUAGUUUGCAGUUGCUCAACAUCAAAGUGUCACAUUAUGUCUGUACAAAGGUCAUUGUCUGAUUUGUCCAGCACCGAUGCCAGAAACUGAAGAGCUGAGGGAAAAUAUUUCAGUUCACUGUGUAAGCAUGUUUGACAUGUCAUGAAAUAAUUCCUGGGAUGUUUUAGGACUCGGUGAGGGUAAAACUCUGCAAGACUUCUUUUUUUUUCUUUAUACAGUACAUGAUGAUGGAGCACAAGCUGACAAUGCCAGAGAGAACCUGUUUGCAUUCUUCGGAGUGGGAACUGCAAAGCAGCUCUGUUGCCCAAUUUACAUAAGAAAUGAAGAGUCAUCUGAUCAAGUGGCUGGAGAGUAACGCUCUAUCACCCUCACUAUUCUACCAAGCAACAGAGAGGAGAGGACGCAUCGAAGGUCCGUCUGUAUAUAGCUGCAGGUGAGCCUGUAUGUUUAAGACAUACAGUGACAGCGUUUUUUCGUGUCUGUUCUUGUUUGGCCCCUCACACAUCCGUGAAGCUUGGAUUGAGUAUCAGAUCAGUCGUGUAGGCGUGUUCGAGAGAGAGAGGUUGAGACAGAGAGAGAAAGAGAUAGAGAGAGAGCGAGAGAGAUAGAGAGAGAGAGAGGGGUGUGUGUUCUGGUGCUUUCUCAGUGGUUUUCCAUUUCAUCUCCGUCUCUCGCUCUCCCUUCACCUGCCUCCCUCCUCUCUGCUUUCCGUCCUGAACCGGAGCAGUGAAUCAAACUUCUUUAUGGGCACGAGCCUGAGAGUCUAAACCAUCCCAGACUGCGUUACAUUCGUGAUCUCCCAGUCUCAAAGAUGCUGCCAGGCUUCCCUGGACCCUCAUUUCAGUCUUGUCAAAAAAGAAGGGGGACACGGACAACAUCACUGAAAGCAUACUGUGCCUUUGACUAAUUCAGUAAUCAGCGUAAUGGAGACCAAUGAGGCAUUGUUAAAAAAAAAAAAAAAUUAAUUGUUCUAUUUGCAAAUGUUAAGGCCUCCUGAUGAACUGGGAUUUAAGACCACAAUGCAUCUAAUAGAUUCCCUCCUCUGUCCCUCUCACAGAUAUUAUUGAAGUCAACUUUUCCAACUGAAAGAGGGAACCAGUUUAACAGUCUGUUGUGAUUAAAUGUCAUGCAUAUUUGUGUCAUGUUAUUGUGGGUGUUUGAUUAAUGAAUAAUUCACAUCUGUGAACAGAGCAUGCAGUGGAAGUAUUCCUUCAGAUACAUAUUUCUCUUUGUGGAUGCCUCUGAGUACCAUUCCUAAACUUUUACUGUUUCAGGUGAUCAGAGGUAAAGUGUAGUAACCAGUUUAAUGUUGACCAGCACAGAAAAUGCUGCAUGUGCCCUCACUACGAGCAUCCCGAAUUGUUUAAAUGCCUGCUCCCAUCUUCCAUGACACAUUUUGCCUCCUUGAAAGUAUUAAUUCCAAACAUCAAAACAUUUGUAUGUGUUGCAGACUCCUAAAUCUGGGCUGUCCCUCAGGUUUAUAGCCAUAUCAGUAACUGCUUCACAUCCACAGUAUCUUUUCUGGGCUCUUUGUUAAUUACAGUAGGCUACAUGAGGAUAUCAAGCUCCAUGUGUAUCUGCUGCUGCAUCUCAGCCACUCUUUGGUUCUCUCAAAUCCUUUUGUUUCAGUUGCUCUAACUGAAAUGUUUCCUGAAUCCACCACAGGGAUUCCUGCUCAUACCACAUCCACUAUAAUGGAGAUUCAGAUUAUUAGAUAAUUUUACUAAUUACUGUUCACUAUUUUGUACUAAUAACUUAAUUUUCCAGUAUUCUACUAAUAAUUUUGUUUUCCACUAUUUUCUAACAAUAACUUUAUUUUCCAUUAUUUUCUAAUAACUUUAAUUUCCCAGUCUUCUAAUAAUUUAAUUUUCCAGUUUUCUACUCACUUAAUUUCACAGUUUUUUCUAUUUAUAACUUAAUUUUCCACUGUUUUCUACUAAUUAUAACUUUGUUUUCGACUGUUUUCUAGACUCAAGGCUGUGUCAUGCCACAUAAGGAACUCUUUGAAGGAACUCUCUUGUCAGGAGUGCCCCCCUUGGAAGCUGGUUUCAGAUGGUGGCUUAGAGUAUUGUCACCUAUCUAGCACCAUUUGAAAUCAGUGUUCUUGGGGUGGGAAGUGUGUUCCGCUGACCAGCAACAGGCAGCCGUGAAGUGGUAAGACGUAGAGAAUUGAAACAACUUCACCUGGGAAGUGCCACUCAGCGGGCUACAAAACCACCAGUCUACAGUGAUGUUUUGACAGCUCAAGCUCUAUGUCCUCUCUCCAAGGUUGACCGAUUUCUUUUGGUGUUCAGAGUCUGCUUUUGUUUCUAGCACCAUUUGAAAUCGGUUACAGUGAAGGACAGAUCUCGUCUUACCUUGAGGAGGAUUAAGCAUACGCAUGCUCGAACUAAGCUGUGGUCUGUAUGUUACUGGCUUUGCAUUGACUUGAGUGAAACCUUGUCACAUUACCAUUUUAAACGAAUAAAAAAAGUAACAGUACCACAAUGUAAAAAUACUCUAUACAUAAAGUAUUGCAUUUUAAAGUAACUAAAAAUACACAAAUGUUACUAGGAAAAUGUAUUGUUGUUAAAGACAGAGACAUUUCUUAUGUUUGCAUCUAUAAAGCAACACAACAGUAAAACUAAUGUAAUCAAAAGGUAAGUAAAAUAUUUGCAUCUGAGAUGUAGUGAUGUAAGCACAGAGUAGCAUAAAAUUAAAAUAGUUAAAUAACACUACUUUAAAAUUGUACACAGGUAACAUAAGUACUAUAUUUGAGUAAUUGUAGUUGUGACUUAUGACAUUCCACCACUUGAUGUCUGUCAACUUGAUCAAUUUCCCAGUACCACAUCCACAAGGGGGCACUGUCAUAUAAAAUAUCACAUCAGAGGGAUCCUUUUUUUGAUUGGUCUCUGUGCCCACAGUUGGUAUUUCAAUUGUGUUUACAGUAGCUAUACUGUUCCCAUUUUAAUCUUCAGUGUUAAAAGACAUUUUAUUUCUUAAAACAUGAUUAAAAUACUUGGGACAUCAGGGAAUAUCCGUUUAAAAACUAAUAAAUCAUGUCCAAAAGUUUAAUUUUAACAGGUAUAGGCUUUAAGGUGGACACAUUAUGGCUGUAAAGUAUGGAGAAGCUUCUUCACAUAUAUUCUGUACAUGAGAUGGCUCUUCUGUAAUAUGAAUAAAAUGAUCUAUGAUCUACAGAAACUAGA